GAGGAAUAUUGGACAAUGGGCGCAAGCCUGAUCCAGCCAUGCCGCGUGCAGGAUGACGGUCCUAUGGAUUGUAAACUGCUUUUAUACGAGAAGAAACACUCCGACGUGUCGGAGCUUGACGGUAUCGUAAGAAUAAGGAUCGGCUAACUCCGUGCCAGCAGCCGCGGUAAUACGGAGGAUCCAAGCGUUAUCCGGAAUCAUUGGGUUUAAAGGGUCCGUAGGCGGUUUGGUAAGUCAGUGGUGAAAGCCCAUCGCUCAACGGUGGAACGGCCAUUGAUACUGCCAGACUUGAAUUACUGGGAAGUAACUAGAAUAUGUAGUGUAGCGGUGAAAUGCUUAGAGAUUACAUGGAAUACCAAUUGCGAAGGCAGGUUACUACCAGUGGAUUGACGCUGAUGGACGAAAGCGUGGGUAGCGAAC
rnacentral:rRNA from 1 species